AGACAAAGCCAUAUAUGAUUGAAGGUUAUCAGUACUGUGCUUUUGGAGGAUUCAGAAGAAGUUAUAUCUGAUUGGGAGAUUGAAAAGGAUUGGCCUGAAGGAGAGGUGGUUUUUGAACUGCAUCUUAAAGGAUGAGGAAACUGAGGCUGAGAGGGUAGAGAACUUUGCCUGAGGUCACUCAGCAGGGACCCACCCAUCACAGUAAAUGCCAGCACUGCUGAUGCCAAAACAAUGUUAUUUGUAGGCCCUCGGAAUUUGUGACCUGAAGGAAGAAGAGCAGGGCCGUGGGAAGUAUGUAACCAGUGUCAUGCCCCUGGUCCCAAGGAAGCAGUGGCUUGGUAAAGAGGGGACCCCCGUCAAUAACUCCCUGUAAUUACUGGGCACCCACUCUGAGCUCCUCAGUGGAAUCCUAAGGUUAAUAAGACUGUCUCUAGCCACUGGGGCUCCCAGCCUGGAGUGAGGCCUGAACACCCUGUCCUACCUGGUCCUACCUGGAUGCUGGCCUCAGUAAGCUCCUGGGCUCAUUGAAGAUGAACCUAGCAGUAGUAUUUACACCACUUGUUGUGUGCCCACUGUGGGCCCGGCGCCAUGCCGAGUGCUCUAUGGAUGUGAGAUGAGAACACUGAAGCAGUUUUUUCUAAAGAUAGCUGCCUGGCACAGUGGCUCACAUCUGUAGUCCCAGCAUUUGGGGAGGCCAAGGCAGGUGGAUCACUUGAGGCCAGGAAUUCAAGACCAGCAUGGCCAACAUGUGCUGGGAGAGAAAAGCAUACGACAUAGACAGGGAGGUCAAGCUCCACCACGCAGAUGAGGUGCAGGCCACCAGUCUUCCUCUGCCACAUCUCUUUCUGAAAAGGCAGCCUGUGCUGAGAAACCAUGACUGAGUAAGCCAAGCUUUGUUGGCCGCACCUGCCAAGCCACAGGGUGCCUCAGGCUUGGAGCAUCCCGGAGCCAGUUACAACCCAAGACUUCAGCCUUCUGGAAGGUGUUGGGUCAGCCACCCUGAAGGACGAUCCUGCCCAAGUGACAUGCUUUGCUCUUCCUUCUCACCCAGGACUUCACAUUCACCCUUGCAAUCCAUGUGGGGACACUGUUGGAUAGGAGGCGUGGUCCCAGCGUGGUCUCCCUGUCUGGGCCUCUGCCUAUGCCAAAUGUUUGCCUUACGCUGCACACUCAAGAGGUUCCAUGUAUACAGAUGGGAAUUCCAGAGCUACAGAAAAGGCAGCAAGCACCAUGAUUUAAGCUAACCAGUGUGGAUUCACACCUUCCUCUCUCUCUAUCAGUGGCAGAACUACCAGCUAGAGUAAGAAGUGGUUGAUCCAGGACCUAAACAUUCUGGAAACUCUUGCCCACUUCUGGGAGAAAUGACCCAAUCCAUAGUACUAAGCACACCUUAACUUUCGUAGGACGCAGGCAAGUUGUCAUACCGUGUGCCUAAAUAUAGAAAAAUGAUCCACUGGACUAAUAAAGUGUUAAAUAAAA
rnacentral:lncRNA from 1 species